rnacentral:misc_RNA from 1 species
CAGCGUUUUUUUUUCGGGGGGCGCUGCUUCUGUCUCCCUUUUUUUGUCUUCUGGCGUUCAUAUAUCUUCUCUUUCUUCGACCUUUCAAACCGUCUGACUCAGUGCGUGUCUUCUUCUGUGACGGUGAGCGAGGCAAGGGAAGAGAGUGGGGACGGCACUACCAAAAAAAAGGGGGAGAAAAGGAUACCCUUAGUGGCGUUCCACUGCCGCCCCGCGUAUUCAAAAACGCCUCAUCUCUGCUUCCCUCGCACGCAACAACGCACUCGAACACUAGCCGUUUUGUUUCGGUUCAUCAUAGCUUCACUCAUACAAUCCAUAUACAUAUAUGUAUUCGCUCUGCUGAAACGCCGUCUCUCUCCUCCUCUUUCGUGUGCUUCACUCCGCUCACUUCACCCCCUCAAAAAUACGUUCCACCUGCGCUCUUUUCAACGCUUCGUGCCACUGCCGGUGUCUCGACAGGUUGCAGAGAAGUCCGCCCCACCACACCCCCUCCCCUCCCAUCCCCUCCCCUCCCCUCCCCUCCCCUCCCCUCCCUCUUUGUUCUUCCUGCGCUGCUCGUGAUCGCGUUUCGUUUUUCUUUUUCUCGCACUUUGACCGCAAGAGCCCCCUCGUCGUCACGCCUUUGGCGUUUUGCUUUGCUGCGCGACUGCCCUCCUUGCAUCGUCCUCCUCGCCUCCGUUCUUUCGCAUCUUCCCUUUUCUGUCUUGCUUGUUUCCUCUUGUAUUCGUCACACCUUUUCCCCUUCCACUGUGCCUCUUCUCUCCUCUGCUUUGCUGUUUUUCCUUUUUUUCUUCCCUUUUUUUAUUCCUCCCCCCUCCCCCCAGGGUGCCUUUUGUAUCGUUGUGACGUCUAGUGGGGAGGGCGACACGGUGCCCCUUCUUUUUGUUUUUCUCUGCGUGUAUGUGCAUGCGUGCGCGGAUCUCCUGUUACUUCCCGCCUUGUUUUUUUUUCUUUCGGCGCGUUGUCCCCCUCAUCCCUCGCUAUCUUUCUUUUCCGUUUGCUUUUGCUAGGCUUACGCACACGUUGUCGGGCUGAUUAUAGCAGAUCUCUAUUUCUCUUUUCCCUUUUAUCUGGUGUUGUCGCCUCUUCGUCGCCCUUGGCACCGUCUCCCGCCCUGUAAGGUGGCAGCCGCCUUUCUUUGUCCUUCUUUUUUGUCGAUAUCAUUCGACUUGACGCUUUUCUUUCCCACACUCAACAACUUCUUCGGCGAAAAAAAAAAUAGGUAAGCGAGCGUACUUACAGAGCAGCAGAUCCACCUGCUGUGCUUUCUUGCUUCUUUUCCGCCUUCGCCCCCACCCCCACCCUACUCUUUCGUCUGUUCUUUGGCCCAUGUGCGCGUGAGUACGUGUGUGUGUGUAUGCGGUGUUGCCCCCCUUUUUUCUCGCUCUCUUUCCGUUUGCUUUCCAGGAUCUCUUUGAUGUUUUUCUUGCUUUGCCGCUGUUCUUGUGUUUCACCUUGAGCCGUUCUCGCUUCUCUGUACCCUUCUUGACGCUUCUAUUCUUGAUUUGCUUCCACCCGGCUCUCUUUCUUUCUCGCCCUCCUUCCCCUUCGCUUCGCUUCUUUCCGCUCUAUUUGGCUGCCCAUCCGCCCUCUACCUGACGCUUUCGUUUUACGGCCUUGGGCUUGUGAAGCCUCCCGCUUUUGUCGAGCGAGGCCACUUGUUUGCAGAGCAGGAGGAGUGGCGCCCGCCUGCGCGCACGUGUGAUUUGGCGCGCUCUUACAUUUGAUUGCUCUCGAAAGACGGCGGAGGGAGAGUAGACACUGUUUGCACAACCCACGCAGCGCACCCUUGACAGCUCAUCCCGCAGACGCAUCCGCCCCGUGUUUCUCCUCGUCCUCAUACUGGAUUUACGACGACACAGGUGAACAGGACAGCUUUCGCAGAAGGCGAGGAGGGACGCAAAAAGGCGCUUCAGGCCGUCAAGCAGAGCGGUCACGGCGAGCAACAGGGCACAGUCCGGCAUUUUUUCUGUUUCAUUUUUUUUUCGCCUUCGUCUAUGGUCUUUUCACUAGAUUCAGCUCUCUAAGGCGACGCCACGACUGCAAUUUCCGAAAAGAGGCAAUCAUGAUGCCGCCGGCUAUCGAGGUGGGCAAGUCUGCCUACUCGGUUGAAGAAGUUGGCGCGAAAGGCAUGGACGAGGUCAACACCCACACAUCGGUGAGCCUAUGCAGCAGCAGUAGCAGCACCGAUGCAUACGGUCAAACGACGACAGCCACGGCAGUGUCAACGCUGAAAGCUAGGGCGCCCAGCCCCAUCGUCAAGCGCGGCAGUUGCAGUAUUAGCAGCGGUAGCAAUGAAUGCGUCUCGUGUGAUCUGCGAAUGCCGACGCCGCCGACGCCUUGCGAAUUUCUCGAGGACCUCUCUCUCGCCUCCACUGCCGCGGUCGGCGCCCUCUGCGUCGGGGUCAAGGUAGUCAGUGACUCAGCAGCCCUGGCGUUGACACCGAUUUCUCCACUCAGCACCACGUUGGCAAAGAGGAGACUGGCGCCGCCAUAUCCAAUAGACUUUCCCGAAGCAACCUCGGCAGUAGCAGCGACAGCGGCAGCGGGCGGGCCGGUGGAUGCGCUUGAGCCCGCCUCGCAGUUUGCUUCAUCGCUUCGCCUUUCAUCCUUUAGGCCCAAAGACGCAUCGGCGCUUUCUGACGUAGCUGCCGCACCGUCGGCUUUCUCCGUCGCUUCCUUCUCCGGGAACGGUUCGAGGCCGCCACUGCAGCCUACGGGUCUGCACACACAAGCUGGCCCCUUGCACUCAGAGAAGCCGAAGACCAUCAACAAUGCCGCCAUCAGCUCGUUCUUUUCCACACCGCAGCAGACGUACGCUUCCCCAUGCGACUACGCGCCGGUGGAGCACCGCCCGUCGCUGGCGAUGUCGUCAUUACGCUACUGCGAGGGCUAUAGCGCUGUGAAAAGCGGGCUUCUCCCGCAGCCACAUGUAGGUAACAGCCCUGUGUCACUGAGAAGUGCCCAACACCCACCCGGCACCUCUCAUCCACACCACAUUGAAGUCGGUUUCCAGUCGAGUGGCAAUGCCUUGGACGCGCACUGGCAAGCUGCGAGCAGCCCGCCGCGCUGUCAUGGGCGCAUCAGCAGCUCGACCUGCUCUCCCGCUGGUAUGGGAGCCUUGAGUAGAUGGAAGGGUUCGGGGCUCGCAGACGAAGGAUACAGCUACGGCACUUGCGUAGAAAAUCGCUCAAUGGAUGGGGUGACCGGUGCGAACGGAACAUCGGCGGCCGCUUCUAGCGGUGCAGAGCAGAGCGGCUUAUCAGCUGGCAUGGCGGACGGCUGUGGCAGCAGGCCCCAUUCGGUAGCGCGCGACAGCCGCAGUCCACCGACUCCGCCACGUGGGCUGUACCCAUCGGCGCCGUUCGUUUCUUUGGCAGCGCACGCAUCAGCCCCUCAGCAAAUCAUCGCGCCGCCGCCUCACCUUGAUGUGGUGCGCAUGGGAGGCGGCGAGUACGAGUAUAGCACCGGUAAGUCGCUGGCCUACAAUACUGGGCCGGAGUACGGUGACGGCCGCGACAUUCGCUUUCGUGGCUGCGUCCCGCAAGACGUGGUGUGCAUUGAGCAUAUGGACCACCUCGAACACGUUUGCCGCGAAAUUCUGCUCGAGUCGGAGAUGCUGCGCAUGCAACGCGAGCAGCAGCGGCGAGAGCGCGUGUAUAGCGUCGACAAUAACAACGCGGAGGAGGCACACUAUACUGACACGCUUACUAUUGCCCUUGAUCUUGAGGGACGCUCGCUUGGCCGGAUGGGGUCCAUCUGCAUCAUUACUCUUGCCACCUACUCUACGGUAUACAUUAUUGACGUGGUCAUGCUUGGUGCAGAGGCACUGCGUUCCGGCUCGCCCCUGCAGCGUGUGCUCGAGUCGCGUGACAUUAUGAAGUUGAUGUUCGACUGCCGCGCCGACUGCGACGCACUUUUUUUUCUCUACUGCGUGCGCCUGCAAAACGUGUGCGACUUGCAGAUCUCCUCCUGCUUCGCGCUGUUCCCGACGUCGCCACAUCUGCCGGGAAUGAAAAGCGUUUUUCUUGCCUUGGGACUCUUCACUGACGAGGAUACGGGCAUCAAGAACGCCGGUCGUCACCUCUUUAAUCCGCGCUGUGGCGGCAGCUUCGACCGGUGGGAGGAGCGCCCUCUCACGGACGUACUCGUGCAGUACUGCGCUGUCGACGUCAAGUACUUCUUUGCCGCUCAACUGAUCCUGUGGGACCACGUCGAGCAGGGCUGUAGGCUAGGCGAGGCGCGGCUGGCAUCCGUCUGCAACGGCAACUUUCGCGGCUCUUCUAAGAGCAACUCCUUCCGCGACUUUGACGUGAGAAACGAACUGUGAUGCGGCGAUGGACUCAGUCCAGGGCGGCUUUGGCGGGUAUUCAAUUUUUAUUUGGCUCGCUUCCUCCUAGCGCUUUCUGCCUCUGCUGACGGGGGGGGACAUUUCAGUGCGCCGUAUCUGAGGGUGCAGUACACCCCCCGCCCCCUAGCCCUGCCAAAUGCCGGGCCACCUCUGGUGGUGACAGGGCCUAGUGCCUACGACGUAGGGGAAGGCCCGAGCGAUGCAUCACUGCUGAUGUCGGCGGUGAGGGGCUGGAUGGCGCUGCGUCGGACCGACCUGCGACCGUGCACACGCUUGCGCCAUCCACGUGAUGGGCAGAGCGUCCGCGUGACUCGAGCGUGUACCGCACCCCCGGCCCUCGCACUGCUCAGUGGUGUGGGGCGGCGGAGCGCCACCGCGAGUGUGUGUGUGUGCAGCACGUAGGGACCGACAUGAUGUGGGAGCGGCUGUGAGGCGGCCUGCGAGGCAGGAUGGGUGGGCGGGCAGAGCUUGAGGGCAGUGGGGCCGUUCUCCGAUGACUGAGUGGGCGCAUGGCUGUAACAGCAUCUCCACGGCUGCCUGGCGCGGCGCGAUGUGGGGCCGGUGACAGGCCAGGCUCAGUGGCGUUCGAACUGCUGUUGCGUCGAAGCCAGUGGCCAUGUGAAAGACAGUGAGAUGCUCAUAUCAACAGACUUGAACAUCAGCUCAGCGGUAAAACAGCGCGUGUCGUACUUCGACACUCUCGUUUGUGGCUUUUGUGUGUGUGUUUUUUCUGGGUUGCUCGUGUUUUGCUCAUUUCUAUGUUUUUGAUGUUAAGGUUCGACAUCUCUUUGCGUGCGUCGUGUCCCGCUAGCGCUUCUCUUCUGUCUUUUACUUGACGCACACGUACAGACAGAAGCUGACAGGACGAGAGCAAAUAAGGCUUCAGCAGAACAAGGGCAGCUAAAGUGUUGUAUGUAUGUAUGUGAGUGUCUUUCGUUCUCGGGUGCUGAUCUGGGACAGAGAGGGAGACAGAGGUGGACCUCCCUACCUCCCACACACACCCGUCCACACACACACACACACAUGAACGUGUUUUUUUUUCUUGUGCCUCUCUGUGGUGUAUCUCCUCUUUCGUGGAUUUGGCCACAUCCGCCUCCCUUUUUGUUGUUCUUCUGCUGCGUGCGGGCGCCUUUCUCCUUCGCUCCUCUUGCUCCUUCCGCGUUCCUCUCGUUUUUGCGCCUUUACUCGGACUUUCCAGAGUCGUCCCUUUUCGGCCUCUCUGCAUUGACUUUGCGUUCUCCAUUUUUUUUUUUGCUUUGCUUCCUCGUGUUGUUGUCUUUCUUCCAUUUUUCUUCGCCAUCAUCGCUGUCGCUGUUCUGCUCUUUGGUCUUUCUGGUAGUGAUGCUCCCCUUCUCUCUCUCUGUGUGUUUCGGUGCGUUCUCGAGGCUUUCUAUCACCUCUAACGAAGAGGAGCCCGAUGUGGUUUCUUUUUCAUAUAUAUGUAUAUGGAGGGGCGACCCAAAAUGCGCAUAGGGCAGAUGCGGUCUGCUCAUCCGUCUUUUUUGAAUUAAAUCUUCGCUUACUGUUUUUAUAUUUCCGUUGUACUGCGUUCGAUCUCCCCGACGCAGUUUGUUGCUUUCCUUCAUCCACUUUUCGUCAUCAGCUGCUCAACGACAGACCUUGGAAUUCUUUUUGUCCAUCGAAAUCACAAGAUCUACAUCAUCAUAAGCAUGCGGGCAGGCGGCCACACACACAGACAGACACACGCAAGCGUAUGCAUUCAGAGGUGUGUGUGUGUUUCCUUUUUCUUUCUCUUUUGCCCCCCCCCCCCCACCCCUCCCUUCCCUCUCCUCCCUGUGUUACGCUGCUAGAACUCUCUGUAGCUGUCUCGUUGCAUUUCUUUGUGCUUUCAUUCUGGAAAACACGUAUCACGUUUGCUUGAUGUGUGAUGCUUGUGAACUCUUCCGUUCUUCUCUCUUGUGUGUGUGUGUGUGCCCUUUCAAAGUGCCGUGCUCUGCUUGCGAGUGUGACCGAACUCGAUAAUGCACAAAAUGGUGUGUAUCUUGUUUUCUCUGUUCUAGCCCCUCCCACACCUCCUGCUGCUUCCUUCCUUUUCGCAAGUCGCGCCAUGUUUAUCGACCACCUUUCUAUUUGGUGCACAGAACGUUUUGCCCUUCUUGUGUCUGUCGUUGUCUUUCACGCACUCUUGUUUUCUCUUUCUGCCUCAGCCACUCUGCGGUGACGCUGCGCCGACUCACCGGAGCGACUGCUUCCGUGCCGAUGUCUUUAGGGGCUCGUGGCGCCUAUCAGUUUCACGGGUGUCUCCUUGGGGGAGAGAGUGAGAGCAGGCCUGUGUGUGUGUGUUGAAUGGGACGGAGAACAGGGGAGAAGCGGUCUCAAAAUAACCAACACAGACCCAAGAAAGCGAAACAGCGCCUCUGCAAUGGGAAGGAAAGAAAACAUCUUGCGUGAAGAUAAGCGAACAACAAGGUUUGGGAUGACUUUAUGCUCUGCUUGUAUUUCUGCAAUUGUGUGAGCAUCUUUUAGCUCUCUCAUGUUCUUUGCUUCUGUCUUUUUUCGUUUUUUUUUUGUUUUGCCGUGCAUGUUGCGUACAUACAUCGCUGCGUGCGUGUGUCUUCUUCAUUACUUCUUCGAGGGCGUCGUUUAUUUUCUCUACAUUCGAAGAAACCAACAAC